UCGGGAAUUUUGCCCAAUGGACGAAAGUCUGAGGCAGCAACUCCGCGUGAGGGACGAAGGCCUUCGGGUCGUAAACCUCUUUUCUCAGGGAAGAUACAAGACGGUACCUGAGGAAUAAGCCACGGCUAACUACGUGCCAGCAGCCGCGGUAAUACGUAGGUGGCGAGCGUUGUCCGGAUUUACUGGGCGUAAAGAGCGCGCAGGCGGCUGGUCAAGUCCGAUGUGAAAGCUCCCGGCUUAACUGGGAAAUUGCAUCGGAAACUGAUCGGCUGGAAGGUGGGAGAGGGUAGCGGAAUUCCCGGUGUAGUGGUGAAAUGCGUAGAUAUCGGGAGGAACACCAGUGGCGAAAGCGGCUACCUGGCCCAUUCUUGACGCUGAGGCGCGAAAGCUAGGGGAGCAAACGGG
rnacentral:rRNA from 1 species